AAGCCAUCCUACGUCUGUCCCUUGGCCAAGCAGAGUCACCGAGGGACAUGGCUGAGAGCAACACUUGGGACAAGGUGUAUUGAUGUCCCUCUAUCAACCGCCAGCAAUGUGCUGCUGGAGGACCACGGAACUGCAGGGCUGCCCUCUUCCAAACACUCAGAUAAUUGAUAACACGAUGAGUUCUGCGAAGCUGUGGUUGUAUCCCGGAUGGUUUCCAUGCUCUCUGCUGUUCUCACACAGGAUGAAGUGGACUGUGCUUUGAAACACCCUGUUCAGAAAAAGGGGGAAAUGCCCCAAACUGUCACCCUUUGGGAGACGUUGGCAAACGUGGAAAGUGCCAUCACUCUGCCUCCCCACUGCACAUGGCCUCAGCACCCAAACUGUGGUCCCCAUAGCUGUGACCCUAUAGCUAGGAAAGCCCCAGUGGCUCUGUCACUUUGUCCAGGAAGGAAAAUCCACAUUGUGCAUGGGAAGGAAACAUGGGAGAACCCCCAGCUCCACUUAGUGGGCAAAGCACAAACAACAUAUUUCAGCUGCAGCAACAGCUGAAGGCUGAAGGGUGUGUUUACAAUGCUCAGCUGAUCCUCGUAUAGGAAAGGUUUGCUUGCACUCUAAAAGCCUGUCCUGAAGCCUUGAUGCCCUGGAGAAAGCCACGCAGGGCUUUCCAGGAUGAAAAAAGAGAAUUCAGAAUUUUUCAACAGCCCUCUUUUCUGCUUAGAAGUAUCUCAGUAGCUCUGUUGAUGAGUUAAGGAUGGUUCACUAAGUAAUUUUCACUGGUUGCACUGUGUGUAUCUCACCCCAACCACCAGCCUCCUUAUCUGGUGCUGCCUCUCAUCAGGAAGGCCCUGUAGAGGAUAUGGAUGCCCAGCCUGGCUGUAGCUCUCCCCUGGAAGUCUCUCAUCAGCAGCACUGUGUGACUAUCAGCUCCUGCCCUCUCCAGUCCUGGGGACCAGAUCCAUUUAAGACAACUGGUGCUCUGCAUUUCCAUUUUGAGCUCAGAUCAACCAGGAAUGCCUUUGUAACUCUGCAGAGGAAGCUGCAUGGAGGCAGAAGCAAAACCCAUCAGGUGUGUUUUGAUAGCAACAGUGCAAAUCCAAACUCUGAGUGGUGGUCACGGGCAAAGCAUGGGGGCUGCCUGUGAAAGUAGCUUAGGUUUUUUAUUUUGGUGCCUGGGUGGCUGCUUCAGCCUGCAUAAUCCAUUUAGCUGCUGUGCAUCUUCCUGUGCUCUGCUCACAGAAGUUAUUGCAUUAGGCUGCAGACUGGGAGAUGGCAGUAAUAUUUUUAUACAGAGAUGCACUGUCCCAAGGUGCCCUGGCUGUAGAGGUUGAUGGCCGCUGCACACACAUAUCUCCUGCCCCAGUUACCUUCAGGCUGAACCCUUGCAGGCACGCAUUGUCAGUAUAUCCAACUAUUCAAAAGGAUGAAGGGGAAACGGCUUUAUUUCAGUGGUUUUCCUCUGCUCUGCUCUCUCAGGAUGCCAACCACUCGUGGUUAUCAAUGGGAAAGAAAUGCCUGACUCUGCUUGGAGGUUCCAGCUGUUAUUUAACAGCUCCGUGCCCUAUUUUCACAUUGGAGAAACAGAUGUCAUGUAGGCUGAUGCAGCAGAGAUGGACGUAGGACUGAAAGAGUCCCCUGGCACUAGAGGGCCUGAGGUGUUUGAUACCUCUGCAUAUCAGAUUUCAUUGGAGUGGCUUUUUGCAGUUAAUGAUCUGACUAGAAGCACACUUUGAUGGUACAAAUGCUUGCAUUUAGAGACAUCUCCUACUUCUCCUUCCGGCUCAGAUGACAUCCUCUUCUCGCGCAAUUCCCCAGCAUAAUUUGCACAAACAUGUCCAUCCUCAGGUCUAUACAAAUAUGUUUUCUCCUUGGUUACACAAAUGCUCCUUAUUCUGGAAACCUGGCAACACUGCUGAGAACCAUAGAAGCUAGCUAUGACUAAAAGUUUUAGUGAGUUCAGGGGUGUCCAGGAGGAUUUACCUAAGACACUCCUUGACUCCUAUCAAGAUGCUCCCCAUACGCCUGCCUCGAGCCACCCUCUGCAACCCCUUGGCAAUGGACUUGGCUUGGACAGAGAGCAGUCAGAAACCAUAUAAGGGUUCUGUGCACAGACCCAGCUGAGAAGCUGCUCAAGUUGUGCAAGUCAAAUUGAAACUCUCCAUCUCCUGGCAUUUAUCCAUGGCAGCUACUUGCAGCCUCCGGGCUUGGCUAUCAGCUCUGCAGCUAAUGAAUUGCCCUGUGAUGUGAUUGUGCUUGGCUCUUUUCUCGCUGUGCUGUCCUUGAAGCCUGAUCCCUGAUAAAUCCCACGCAGCCCCUGGCCUGCACACAUAUCCAACGAUGAGCAACACGGGAAGGCUGCAAGCAGUGGCUCCCACCAGCCUGACCCUCCCUCCCAUCAGCAGAUUUCUCAACAAAACAGAGGCUCUGUGUCUGUGUUAUCUCACAGGUUGAAGAGCCUCCCCUGGGCAUGCUGGCUUUCUCUGGAAUGGUUCUGAGUUGUGCAAGAGGGGCAAAGAGCAGGGCAAGGCCUGUCCCUGUGGGUGGAAGAUGCAGAUGCUAAGCUGGCAGUGGUGCUUGUCCCUUUGUGUGAGGCAUCUCACCUGGCCCUGCUGCUGUGCCUCCAUGUCUCUCCUUGGCUCUGGGGCAAGUGAACUCUUCUAACUAGCUUUGAUCCCAUCUGAACCUGAUGUACUGCAGCGUUUUCUGCAACCCAGAUGGCUUCGAACUCUUCCGAUGACUUCUUUUGGCUCUGUUGAAAGGCAAUUACCUCCCGUGCAUCUCCUACUGCAGGAUAUUAAAUCCCUGGGCACUAGCUUCCAUCCUUCUGCAUCCCUCCUCUCCAAAUACUCUUUUCCAUCCACUUUCCCACUGCCGCGGAUGCUUCUCACUCACUUCCUAAGAUGGUAGAUUGCAGGUCUCCUGAACUGCCCGCUCUCGAGAUGGAAAGAGUGAGAUAAUAGCAGCAAACUGUUGGGAAUUAAGAACCUUCUUUCAUUUUUGGCAUUUAAAUUGGAGUCAGACUGCAGCUGAUCUCCCUGGUCUUCCCCAUGCCUUGACCCUGGCUUUGGAUGAAGGCCACAGCACUGUGCCAUUAAGGCUUCAUGGAGACAUUUAUUUUCAUAAUGUUUAAGAACUCAAUUUUAUUGAGUGAACGAUUUUUAACUUCGAUCCUGCAAUUUGCUCUCAGGCCAUCUUUCAAAAUGUCUGAAGAUGUUUAACGUCAGUAACAACAAAGUCAUGAGCUAAGAGAGGCUGUGGAUGUUGGCCAUUUCUGCCCUGUGACCUGUGUUGGUGCACUGGUGUUGGGCAAUGCUUGUGCACUCACUGCACAAACUGGCUUUGACCCUCCAGUUUACGCUGGAGAAAGCAACACAAGUGUGUGCAUUUUGACAUCUUUGGAAGCUUUCAGAACCAUCAGCAAUUUUCAGUCUCCAGAUGGCUCCUGCCCUAAGCUGGCUACCCCACAAAAAGUCCCUAGCACUGUGAUGAUCUCCUGUCACUAUGAAUGGGGCUGAGGUUGGGAGGUGCUGUCUCCUCCUCUGUCCCUCUUUGCCGUGGGGAGGAGGCAUUCAGGUCUUGACUUGGAAACGUGAUACUCCUCGUGAUGCUUCAGACUAAUUGGAGGUGAGGACUGAGGUUUUCAUGGAGAUCUCCUCUAAUGCUGUGAAGCUUCUCCUCAUUUCCAUCCUAAAUUAUUUAUGGCCAGCUCAUUCCCAUUAGUUCUUCUUAGCUUAAUUAUUUUCUUUUCCUACUGUGACUCCUCGUGUGCUUAUAAACGGCAGUAAUAACCUCUCUCAGCCCUCUAGACUUUCAGCUGAAUGAGCCAUCCUUCUCCAGUCUCCCUGUGGAGUCUCUCUUCUCUGUCUUUGUGACCAUACUUUUGGGAAAGGCUAUGCCUGUAAGUGCAUGGGGAAAGGCUUCAGUCGCAAUGGGCUGAGCAUGAGGCAUCAGGGGGAUUUCAGAGAAAAAGGCCAAGCUGGAGAAUGGGUGAAUGCCUCAAGAAUACCUUAAAGUAGAGAUUAGAGAAGGAAACUGCAGGCUGAGAGGAUUUUACCUCUCAAACAGGCUGAGAUUUUACCAUGGCAGUGGAGGUUGUCCUACCAAAGUUACCCCUUCAUCUCAGCCUCAUCCUUCUCAGUCAAAUUUAUUUAUUUUUAUCCUGAAACUAUUUUUCCAUGCUUGUACUCUUAUUUCUGGCAACAGAAUGACUAAGCCCAUAUAUGAAGACCCAGCCUGGAUCCUGGCAUCAACUCCGGGCUCUCUCUGCUCUGUGGGUGAACCACCACUGCAGGAAGGUGCUGACAACCACUGGUUCUAAAUCAACCACCAUCUCCCCUGCUAAAUGUGAGUGUUUGUAAAGCCAAAGAGGGAAGCUUACACAGAUUGCUUUCUAAAGGUGGGUUUGUGUGGAUAUAUCCACAACAACCCAUUAGUUAGCACAUAUAUCAUUUGCAUAACUGUGGGCCCUCUGCAUUGCUGACGUGUGCGACUUUCUGCUUAAUUCUCACUGAUUAAAUUAAUUUACGCUGAGCUGUAGUGCAGAAUCUGGAGUGAUUUUCAUGAGAGCUAAUUCUACGGAGCCUUUCACAGAAGGUAUUUUCAAUGAUGAUAGUUAAGGGCUGUCCUUAGCUCCACCACCAACCCCCUUAGCCCUGCCUUAGCUGUGCUGUGAGCUUUGCCUUCAGCCUGUUGCAAACCGUGGUGCUUGCACAUCUCUUGCUGAGACUCAGAGCAGUGCUGUGUUGGCACCAGCAGCACGGCUGUGCUUGGGAACUUUGCCAUGAAAUUCCAUCCAUUUUGGGGUCCUCUUUCUUGGAGUCACCACUUCAAAUCCGGAGCUACACAUGGAUCAUUGCAAAAAAGAAUCUACAACUGCAACCCAGGGAGAGAGUGUGGUUGGCAUCCAUCUGCAGCACGCCGGGUCUGUGCAAAAUCUGCUGCUGUUCUUUGAGGCACUACAACAGCAGCCUCAUUUUCCCCAGCACCCAGCAGCACCCUCUGAGCGUGUCUGAAAUCAGAUCUGUUUUCUUCUGAAAACCUAAUGGAGUGCCUGAGAAAUACGGCCGUGAACUGUUUGGGGAAAUGGUGCCAGGGAGCCUGCUCUGCUUUUGACGUGAUUCCAAAACACCAGUUGACUGGAAACUAAGUGCAGCCCCAGCAGAAGGGUUAAUCCAACUAUUUUCUUGAGAAAACGUAAUUACUACGAAUCUUUCCAAGCUUGUACAGAGUCAGCAGUAAGCCCUUUUCCUGAGCUGCCAGCUGUGGCUGCAGAUCUGGCAGUGAUGCUGUGAAAUCGAUCGUUCCCCUUUGGCAGGACCGGUGAGUGGCAUCUGCAGAGACAGUGCUGCUGCUGAGCGCUUCCCUUUGCUGCCUGCACUGAGAUAUGCAGCAUCUGCCAUGGCUGCUGGCUGCAGAGGUAUAUGAAGGAGGUGGUUUUCAUGUAAAAUAUGUCACUUCUUUGCUACUGGAUGUGCAUGGUAUGCGCUGGGAGGGUGGCAAAACUAUGCUGUGCUCAGCCCUGGUCCCUGGUGCCCUGUGAUGGAUGGGAUGGCCGUGCAGCAGGGACUGCCUUUCUUCUUUCAAAGGACAUUCUUCACAGGCAAACAUCAGUUAAACAAAUAAUUGCUGGUUUGAUUGUUUCCUGCUGCCAGCUUUUCCUUCAGGACCUCCCUUUCCUUGGGGUAAGCUCUCCAAGCAGGGGUUUAUUAACCAUUUUCAGAAGACUGACGUGAAGGUACCACGCAGACACCCAUUAUGAUAUGAAUUUUAAUCUUGUUUCAGUACCUUCAUUUUGAAAAGAGAUUAAAAAAAAAAAUCCCUUAAAAAACCAAAAUGCAAAUUGAUUUUGAAUUAAUAUGAAACUUCUCUGCAGUUAGUUGGUUCUGAUGGCUUUUUGGGCAGAAGCGUAUUGUUUCUGCUAGGGGAGGUUCAGGUUGGGUACUGGGGGAGAUCUCAGAGCAGUGAGGCAUUGGCACAGCUGCCCAGGGAGGGGUGGAACCACCACCCCCAGGGGUAUUCCAGAGCUGUGGGGUUGUGGCACUGAGGAC